rnacentral:rRNA from 1 species
UACGGGGGGGGCAAGCGUUGUUCGGAAUUACUGGGCGUAAAGGGCUCGUAGGUGGCCAACUAAGUCAGACGUGAAAUCCCUCGGCUUAACCGGGGAACUGCGUCUGAUACUGGAUGGCUUGAGUUCGGGAGAGGGAUGCGGAAUUCCAGGUGUAGCGGUGAAAUGCGUAGAUAUCUGGAGGAACACCGGUGGCGAAAGCGGCUCACUGGGUCUCUUCUGACGCUGAGGCACGAAAGCUAGGGUAGCGAACGGG